AGUUGUGCCCAAUACAUCUUGCACAGAAGAGGGAUUCUCAUCAGUUGUGAGCAGUGCAGGUAAAUAUUACAAAUUAGUCCACAACUGUGAAAGAAAGCUGAGUAGGAUAUUCUGCACAAGGUGGACUGACAAUAAGUACUGAACUAAGAAGACUUCAGGGGAGAGAAGAAAGACAAGAUGUAUACUCAACAGAUGAAACCACUCUCUUCAGAGACAGAAGUGUGUAUGUGGGGACUGCUAAUCUAAGAUUCUUGACCUAGCUUGAUCUUUGAAUAUGUUCAAGAGGAAACCUCAUGCUGUGGCUUUGCUUCCCUAUCAGCAGGAAGAUAUGGCUGAUGCAAAGGCUGCUGAAGAACGUGAGCUGUCAGGAGCAGCUGUCAGGGGCCUAAUCUGCAUGUCCAGCUCAACACUACUGUGUGAGAUAAACACAGGACUGGUGCCCCUUUACACAAAUACACUCAAUGUAAAUAAACUUUGCUGUUGCUCUCUAGUGUACACUGUAUCUUGGUGGCACUUGAAGGCUUUAUUUAUUACCUGCAAAACAAACUCAGUUGUUCAGGGCAAAUUCAGUUUGUUAUAUGCCUGUACUGUCAUAUGAGAGAAGGAAUUCUUGUUUAUGUAGUAGAGGAUUACAAUGGCCUGCAUUCAGUUUCCAGUACUAUCUGACAAGCCCUGAGCAAUGUUCCUUUUUGCCUCUGACACUAUGAACUGUUCAAGGAGUACGUAAUCUUCUCAACUUAGAGAUCACAGAAUUGAUAACUUGUAAGAAAGAUAUGGAAUGCCUUGUGCAUGCUGUUAGUUCUGUAUCUAUCUAAAUAGAUUUCCUUAGUAUUAAAAUGAAUCCUUGGAUAUGUAACUGUUCAUUGUCUAAUUCUCUUUGUAUCUGUAUCUCUUUGUAUCUGUAUAAUUAUGCAGUUGAAGUAUUUUCUAUGAUUAUUCCAGUCGUGAAUUCAGUUUUUUUAAUUGUAAUGUUGGUUAUCGAGAGAGUAUUUAACUGCUUAGUGAGCAUACAGACUGAGUCAGGAAAAUAAUCAGAUUUAAAUACCUACUUGCUUGUGUAUUUUUGGCUCUGUGUUGUACACACACUUCUCUUGCAGAGUUUUUACUUAUUUUUGAAGCAUAUGUUUAUAUCCCU
rnacentral:lncRNA from 7 species